AUGAGGCGGGUGGCGCCGGCGACCGUCGCUUCUGCCCACGGAGGUGCCCACCAAGGCCACGACGGAGACGCCCACGCCUCGCCCACCGCGCCGCACGGCUGCGCCUGCCCCUGCCGCCGCGGCAAGGCCACCGGCCACCACGGCAAUGCCGGGGGCAACGCCAGCCGCUCGCCGGAGCCCAAAGCCCCCGCCUUGCCGCGGAUCUGCAUCUGGGACUCCGCCGGCGACGGCCAAGUCCUCGAGGCCUCCGUCUCCGUGGCGUGGCCGGACGAGGCCGCCACGCCGCGCGCCAAUCUGGAGCCGCCGCCGCCGCAACGGAGGCGGCCCGGGAAGACCAUCUCCAAGGGCCACAGGAACUACCACCUCAUGCUCAACCUGCAGCUCGGCAUCAGACACGCGGUGGGGAAGUCCGCGGCGAAGCCGAUGCGGGAGCUCAGCCGGGCGGACUUUGAUCCCCGGGAGAAGUUCUGGACGCGGUUCCCGCCGGCGGGGUCCAAGACGACGCCGCCGCAUUCCUCCUCCGAGUUCCGGUGGAAGGACUACUGCCCCAUGGUCUUCAGGCACAUGAGGAAGCUGUUUGCCGUCGACCCGGCGGAUUACAUGCUUGCGAUCUGCGGGGACGACGCCUUGCAGGAGCUGUCAUCGCCGGGGAAGAGCGGGAGCUUCUUCUACCUCACGCAGGACGAGCGCUUCAUGAUCAAGACUGUCAAGAAAUCUGAAGUCAAGUUGUUGAUUCGGAUGUUGCCGAGCUACCACAAACAUGUUAAACAGUACAAGAACUCUCUCAUCACAAGGUUCUACGGUGUUCACUCUGUGAAGCCAUAUGGUGGGCAGAAGGUGCGGUUCAUCGUAAUGGGCAAUCUGUUCUGCUCGGAGCACCGGAUCCAACGCCGUUAUGACCUGAAAGGCUCCUCCUACGGUCGGAAAUCCGACAGGUUUGAAGAAGAAACCGGCGAUGCAACCACGCUCAAGGACUUGGAUCUCAAUUUUGUGUUCCGGAUGCAGCGCUCUUGGUAUAAAGAGCUUCAUGAGCAACUUAGGCGAGAUUGUGCGUUCUUGGAAUCGGAGGGCAUCAUGGAUUACAGUUUAUUGGUUGGAGUUCACUUUUGCGAUGAUAUUGUCCCUGCAUCAAAGAUGGCAUUAUCUACUUUUACUUCUUCUCCUGAAGAGCUUUCGGCCAACAUGGUGUCGGCAUGCCAGGGCAGCGUCAGCAUGCCUGAGCCAUGCCCCUCAGCUAAAGAUUUGGACAAGAUGGCCGAUCACCGUGACUUCAGGAAACCUUUGGCUAGACUGGGUGCGCACCUGCCAGCUCGAGCGGAGCGCACAUCCAUGAGCGACGUCGACCCGUUCCUCUCUGGCGGCGGGGGAUUCUCGUCGGGCCGGAGCAAGAGCAGGGGUGAAGCCUACGACGUCAUCCUCUACUUUGGGAUAAUCGACAUCCUCCAGGACUACGACAUCAGCAAGAGGCUGGAGCACGCAUACAAGUCGCUGCAGACGGACCCUAGCUCGAUCUCCGCGGUCGACCCGAGGCUCUACUCGCAGAGGUUCCGGGAUUUCAUGGGCAGGAUAUUCAUCAAGGAGUGCUAG
rnacentral:rRNA from 1 species